AUUGAACGCUGGCGGCAUGCUUUACACAUGCAAGUCGAACGGUAACAGGUUAAGCUGACGAGUGGCGAACGGGUGAGUAAUGCAUCGGAACGUGCCCGAUCGUGGGGGAUAACGCAGCGAAAGCUGCGCUAAUACCGCAUACGAUCUGAGGAUGAAAGCGGGGGACCGUAAGGCAUCGCGCGAUCGGAGCGGCCGAUGUCAGAUUAGGUAGUUGGUGGGGUAAAGGCUCACCAAGCCGACGAUCUGUAGCUGGUCUGAGAGGACGACCAGCCACACUGGGACUGAGACACGGCACAGACUCCUACGGGAGGCAGCAGUGGGGAAUUUUGGACAAUGGGCGAAAGCCUGAUCCAGCAAUGCCGCGUGCAGGAAGAAGGCCUUCGGGUUGUAAACUGCUUUUGUACGGAGCGAAAAGGCUCUCUCUAAUACAGGGGGCUCAUGACGGUACCGUAAGAAUAAGCACCGGCUAACUACGUGCCAGCCGCCGCCGUAA
rnacentral:rRNA from 1 species